CGAGUGGCGGACGGGUGAGUAAUGUCUGGGAAACUGCCCGAUGGAGGGGGAUAACUACUGGAAACGGUAGCUAAUACCGCAUAACGUCGCAAGACCAAAGAGGGGGACCUUCGGGCCUCGCGCCAUCAGAUGAACCCAUAUGGGAUUAGCUUGUAGGUAAGGUAACGGCUUACCUAGGCGACGAUCCCUAGCUGGUCUGAGAGGAUGACCAGCCACACUGGAACUGAGACACGGUCCAG
rnacentral:rRNA from 1 species